rfam:Pan troglodytes isolate Yerkes chimp pedigree #C0471 (Clint) chromosome 4, whole genome shotgun sequence.
GCCAGGCACAGUGGCUCACACCUGUAGUUCUAGUUAUUUGGAAAUCCGAGGCAGGUGGAUCAUUUGAAUCCAGGAGUUCUGGGCUAUGCCAUUCAGGUGUCUGCACUAAGUUUGCCAUCAGUAUGGUGACUUCCCAGGAGCUGGGAACCACCAGGUUGCCUGAGGAGGGGGGAGCCAGCCCAGGUCAGAAACAGAGCAGGUCAAAACUCCCAUGCUGAUCAGUAGUGGGACUGCACCUGUGAAUAGCCACUGCGCUCCAGCCAGGACAACAUAGCAAGACCUCGUCUUAA